ACGAUGCCGAAAAUGAAGAAGACGAAGAAGCACAGCAGAAGGACGUUCCCGAGCAUGGGCAGCGUAUCCAGCAGCAGAGUGACCAGGAUCCGCAUGCCUGUGGGCAGCAGGGCCAGGAUUGGCACUGCUAAGCCCUGCAGGAGUGUCCUCGGGGCUGCAGCCCCUCCCGGGACCCCCGAGCCCCGUCCACUGUUCACAGUGGGUGUCCACGCCCACUGCACACUGACUCGGGCCACCCCCUGGUGAUUUUCCCGCACCCCUAGUGUGAUCGGGACUCCCCUCCUACCACCACCGGCCUCCAGGGACACUGACACCCUGGGGUCUGACGUGCAUCCAGCGGGGCGCCAGGUCUCCACCUCCAACCAUCCCAGGGCAGCAGGUCUGCUGCUUUUGGAGGGCUGGGGUGUGGAGGGGCAGGAGUGGAGGCAGGGGACUGGCCGAGGCAGGGAACUGGCUGCGGCAGGUCUGACCACGUGGCAUCUCGGGCUCGGGAUGACCAGGCGGAGCCCAGUGGCCCUCGAGGCUUGUCUGGCGACACCCUGAAGUUGCCACCAAGGCAGCAGGAGCCUUGGGAGCCCCAGAACCUCAGGUGGUGGGCUGCCUCCUGGGGGUCUCUGCAGCAGGUCUGGGAUCCUGAAAACUUUGUCUGAUUCCCAGUGAGAAUCCUGCCAGAACAGAGCCCCAUCUCAGAGAGAGGCUGCUGGAGGCGGUGGGGAGGACCGGCAGCGGCUUUUCAGGAGGUAGCACUGAAGCCAUCGGUCCUGGGUGCUAUGGGCUACGUGAACUCCAGAUUAAUCCAGCAAGUGGGUCAGCCAAGCCCCACGCGCCCCUCGCUCCAUCCUGGGCCUGCUCCCCCAAGACGUCCUUUCCCUCAAAUUUAAUCAAGGGCCAGGCUAAGGCAGCAGGUCACAAGGGUGAGUCAGAGCCAGGAGGAGCACUGAAGUGUCAAAAGAGCCGACCGGAGCAGACAAUCAGUGAGCACUGCCCUGGCCAGACCGCAACCGCCUCAAAGAUCACAGAUGACCCAGAGGUCAGAGUGGACCCCUAGCCAACAGAACAGGAUGCAGCCCUGAGCGUGUCCUCAUUAUGAGAAGCGUAUUAUCCAGUCUGGAAGAGUUCCCUAGUUCUCUCCUAGAGACAGGAGCAGAUCCCCAGGAGGCCAGGCUGCUGGCGACAAUUAGGGCCACUCUGGCAAUUUAACCUGAAAAGUAAACAUCCAUGGAAGGAAGGGGCUGUGUGUGCUGGGUUGCUUCACGCUUCAACAGGUGGGGCCAGGCCGGCGUGCAGACUGAACGUACAGUGGGUGCCGGGCAAAGGGCCAAGAGCCACACACGCGUCCCCUCACCGCACGCUCAGCCACCCUUGGGGUCAUGGUUACUCCUGUACUGCACUAUUCCAGGAGAAACUGAGGUUCAGGCUCAGCUAGUUGCUCAGAGUCACACAGUAUUCAAGCCCUAUCUGAGCCACACAGUAGAGCCAAGGCAGGCAGGUGGAAGGCAGGCUCAGGGACCAGCGGCACGAGGAUGACCCACCUGCCCUUCGGGAAGCCAGAGGCCCCAUGGGAAGGAGUGCCUAGCCUUGGGGGUCUGUGACUUUGGGGGGUUGCUGCAGGUCAAGCCCUGAGUGCCAAGGCCACCAGGACCCAGGUCAGGCAGCCAGAAAGGCUGUGUUACACCCGCACGUGCACACACGGGGCCACAUCUACACGCAGUAUGCACUCGCGCCUGGUACGGCCUCGUGGGGGCCGCGCCGACCCCCAGGAACCAGAGCAGUUGAAUGUAGCCCUGAGUGCUUAAAGAACGAUCCCACCCCAUCCCCUGAUGCAGGUGGGUGGCCCGGAUUUGACAGGAUGUUUCCCAAACAAGCAGGCAUAUGACUUCCUGGAAGCUCUUCCUCCGCCUCCCCUCACACCCAGCGCACAGCAGACACACAGCAGCUCCUCUCCACCAGGCCCCCUCCUCACACCUGCUGGCCAAAUCCUGAAGGAUUUCCAGCCUUCCUUCUAGAAAAUCAGCUGCUCAGCAGGGGACACGGAGGCCCAGCCCUGGCCAGCCAACUUCCCCUUUCCUUAGGUGGGGAUCCUGGCAGGAGAGUAGGGGCCAGAAGCAGUGGCGGGUGGGGAGAGCGAGGUGUCCUCAGGACAGGUGUCAGGCUCUCCCCUCACUUGUGUGGGUGUGAAGGCGGGGCUUCACAGAGCCCCCAGGUGAGCUGAGCCACACCCACAAGAGUGUCUCCACCACGAGCCACACCAGGAUGCGCCAGACAGCAAAGCCACCAGGGAUCUGCUCGGCCUCCAGCCUUGCCCCAGAUGCCAUGCAGAGAAGGAACCGGAGGUAACACUUCUGCCCGAACAGCCCCAAGGCCACCAUCUUGAUGACCAUCUCCACCGCAAAAAAGGCGAAAAUGAAGGCGUCAAAGGCCUGCGGGAGGAGGCAUCAGGAGGGCCCGUGGAACAGCUCAGCUCAGCCCACAACCCCCAACCCCAGCCCCGCAAGAGCCCGGCCCCCAGUCUUGCCACACCCCUCGCCCCGCCCCUGCCCCGCCCUGAGCCCCAGGAACUGAGCCCUGCCUCGCCUUGAACCUCGCCUCUCGCCCUGCCCCACCCCCAGCCCCACCUCGCGCCCCGCCGUGAACCUCGCCCUGAUCCCCGACCCUGACCCACUCCACGCCCCACCUUGAACCUUGCCCCGCCCCCGCCCCACUCCGCCUUGAACCAUAAACCUCGUAGCGACCCACGCUCCUUCCCCACCCCGACCCACGCCCCUCACCUCCAGGAUGUUGCAGCGCUCGGAGCCGCACUCAACGUCCUCACAGGGCCGGAACAUGCCCAGGGUCACGCAGUUGAGCAUGAUUACCAGCAUGCUCACGUGCUCGAACCAUGUGUCGCCGCGGGUUAAGGAGCACACCGGCGCGGCCCGGGACCCGCUCCCAUGGGGCCCUCCAAAUGCCCACCCGGCCUGGACGGUGGCACAACUCGGGGCAGACUUUCCAGGGCCCCUGUCCCAGGGCUGCGCGGCCCCACCCUGACCAGGGAACCAGAGGAAGGAGGGAGAGGCAAUCCGUCAGCUGACUGUGGACCCAGGAGGGACCUUCCUUAAGGUAGAAGCCGGCAUUUGGAAAGCACCAACUUGUCAGCGAACAGCCUUGGGAAGUCAGGCACCAGCUCUGACAGUCCCUGCCGUCACCAACACGUGGGAACCGAGGAGGAGACAGAGCUGGGCAUCCUCUCACAGCUGAUUCAGGGGCAGCCCGGUGGCCGCCCCCACCCCUGGCUCUGGACUUGGGCCUGUGCUUGACUCUCGGGGGCCGCCCUUCCCAGCACCCACCUGGCGCAGACCACAGGCCUCAGCGCCCACGGCUCCCCCUCACCCCUGGCAGGCCUGCUUGGGACCCGGAUGAUGGUGGCAGCAGCGCCCCCUGCCCAACACGGGCCACGCUCACUACAGCGGAGGUCCUGGGUGCUGCGUGCAGCACUGGGGUCAGGGUCUGAGUGUCUCAAACUCUCAGGGAUCACAGGAAGGGCAGCUGCCACGGUAGGAGGGGAACAGGCUUGGUGACGAGGGCCUUCCCUGCCCCCACCUGUCACUCCAGCCUGGAGCCCCUCCCCCAGGGACCCCAGCAGCUCAUCCUGGAACCCUCCCUCCCACCAAGCCAGGGCCCAGCCUCCUAGCAGGUCAGCAUUUGAUGCCAGUGCCACGGCUCCAGGCCACCAAUGUAAUUACAUAUUCCCACCAAGAGUGCGGUAAUUACACUUAAUGGGUUCAGCGGUAACAGGCGCCUCUGCUGUAACACUGC
rnacentral:lncRNA from 1 species